GUCAGCACCACUCUACUUCAAGCGGAUGAUGGGCACCUUUUGGUAUAGCUUGUUUUCUAUCUACAAUAGAAUUGAUAAAUAGAGAACUGGAAGGUCAUGUUGACUCAACUACAGAGGAAGAAGGGGGAGAAACUGAGCAAGAACCCGAACCUUCGUCCAGCGAUGGAUGGAGAUAGAGACAGAGACCCACAUCGGAGCACUGG